AUGCCCACCUGUCUCCUCUCCUCUCGCCCACCGCACGUCCGCUGCUCCAUCAAGCAGGUCUCCGACAACCUCCACGGCAACAUCUCCCUUGAUCCGGUCUGGCAGCACCGCCGCAUCAACGACGAAGGUGUUGACCGCGGCGGCGAGCGGCGCGAGUUGGUGGCUGCAGGACUCGACGGCACGGCUCUCGUCAGCGGCGACAGAGGCGGUUGUUAG
rnacentral:rRNA from 1 species